GCGGGAAAAGCGGAGGCGCGGGGCGGGGUGGGGCGGCUGCAGCCCUGGCGUCCCGCGACCGGAGGCCGUGACUUCCGCAUGGGGCUGUGUCUAGUUGGCGGAGGGCGCUCUAGAGAUGCGCGGCUACCCCGCGAAAUUUCGCCCGGGAGUCGUUCUUCCCUGAGGAAUCGCUGGUGGACGUGCAGGCUUGGCAAGAAAAUAGACGUUAUAUUUGAGCCUCCUUUCAAUGCUAGGAUCCUCUAACAGGUCCCCCAAUUUCCCUCAAGUUGUGAGACAGGAAAGAUCUCGAAUCACUUUAAGAAAUCAGGCUGCCUAGUACCACUAUAGAGCUGGUGGUCAGAAGAAUUGAGCAAAGUAGAAAGCAGGAAGACAUUUGGAAGAAAUGGCUGUGAGUGCUCUGUGGUAUCAUACUCCAUACGGAACUAUACCUCAGCCAACACGGCAUUUCAGAGGAGCUAAAGGUCCCUUUGCUGUUCCAAUCAGUGGAAAUUUUGGUCUGUGUGAGCGUGUGUUCUGGAACCGAAGGGCUGGGAAAGGGAUCCUGGUGCCCUGAUUUGCCCUCCUUAUUGUUUCACAGAACCUGCAGCAGCCCCAGAUAACCGAAUGAGCUAGUUUAACGACUUUAAAACAGCUUUAGCGUGUUUUUUUCCUUACUGCAAAAUAUGUGCUUAUUGGAAUACAUUUAGAAGAUAAAACAGAAGAAAACACCCCCUUUCAUCUUUAACUCAUUAAACACUGGUUUAUAUCCUUCCAGUCUUUUUUUAAUUUUUAAUUUAAAAUAGUUUCAGAACAAAGGCUUUUUCCUUUUUUUCUUAUAGCCUUAUUGAAGUAUGAUUUACAUAAAAUUAAAUUCACCCAUUUUAAAUGUAAAGUUCAAUGAGUUUUCAUAAAAAUCUAUAUUUGUGCAACCACCAUCUGAAGUUUUAAGAACCCCAUAAAGUUCUCUCACACCUCUUAACAGGUGUAGCCUAUUUUUAAACUUAAUAGUAGCUUGCGAAUAUCAUUUUUUUGUUUGAAAUAUUCUUUUACAACUCAUUUUAAUGAUUCUGGUAUGGUUUUGUACAGCUGUACCAUGAUUUAUUGGACUCUUAAGUUACUUUGUUUCUUACUAUUAAAAAUUCAACAUGAUGAACAUUCUUAUAACUAAAUUAUUUGUACAUUCAUGAUUAUUUCUUUAGGAAUAAUUUCUGAAAGUGGAAGUGCUGUGUCAGUGGUUACAAUUAGCUCUGUUAUUAAGCUCUCUGAGGUCACGGUAUUUUAUCUGUUCACUGUUACACAUCCAGGGUCUAGCACACACUAUGCAAGUCAAUAUUAAUAAUGGGGUAAAAAAUUAAUGGCUGACCCCAACUUCAAGUUCUACUACAAAGCCACAGUAAUCAAGACAAUUUGGUACUGGCACAAGAACAGAGCCACAGACCAGUGGAACAGAAUAGAGAGACUCCAGACAUUAACCCAAGCAUAUAUGGUCAAUUAAUACACGAUAAAGGAGCCAUGGACAUACAAUGGGGAAAUGACAGUCUCUUCAACAGAUGGUGCUGGCAAAACUGGACAGCUACAUGUAAGAGAAUGAAACUGGAUCACUGUCUAACCCCAUACACACAAGUAAAUUCGAAAUGGAUCAAAGACCUGAAUGUAAGUCAUGAAACCAUAAAACUCCUAGAAUAAAACAUAGGCAAAAAUCUCUUGGACAUAAACAUGAGCGAGUUCUUCAUGAACAUAUCUCCCCGGGCAGGGAAACAAAAGCAAAAAUGAACAAGUGGGACUAUAUCAAGCUAAAAAGCUUCUGUACAGCAAAGGACACCAUCAACAGAACAAAAAGGUAUCCUACAGUAUGGGAGAAUAUAUUCAUAAAUGACAGAUCUGAUAAAGGGUCGACACCCAAAAUAUAUAAAGAGCUCAUGCACCUCAACAAACAAAAAGCAAUCUAAUUAAAAAAUGGGCAGAGGAGCUGAACAGACACUUCUCCAAAGAAGAAAUUCAGAUGGCCAACAGACACAUGAAAAGAUGCUCCACAUCACUAGUCAUCAGAGAAAUGCAAAUUAAAACCACAAUGAGAUAUCACCUCACACCAGUAAGGAUGGCCACCAUCCCAAAGACAAACAACAACACAUGUUGGCGAGGUUGUGGAGAAACGGGAACCCUCCUACACUACUGGUGGGAAUGUAAAUUAGUUCAACCAUUGUGGAAAGCAGUAUGGAGGUUCCUCAAAAAGCUCAAAAUAGACAUACCAUUUGACCCAGGAAUUGCACUUCUAGGAAUUUACCCUAAGAAUGCAGCAGCCCAGUUUGAAAAAAACAGAUGCACCCCUAUGUUUAUCGCAGCACUAUUUACAAUAGCCAAGAAAUAGAAGCAACCUAAAUGUCCGUCAGUAGAUGAAUGGAUAAAGAAGAUGUGAUACAUAUACACAAUGGAAUAUUAUUCAGCCAUAAGAAGAAAACAAAUCCUACUAUUUGCAACAACAUGGAUAGAGCUAGAGGGUAUUAUGCUCAGUGAAAUAAGCCAGGCGGAGAAAGACAAGUAUCAAAUGACUUCACUCAUAUGCAGAGUAUAAGAACAAAGAAAAACUGAAGGAACAAAACAGUAGCAGAAUCACAGAACCCAAGAAUGGACUAACAGUUACCAAACGGAAAGGGACUAGGGAGGAUGCGUGGGAAGGGAGGGAUUAGGGCGGGGAAAAAACAUGUAUAAUUAGCAUGUAGGGGGGACAUGGGGAGGGCUGUGCAACACAGUGAAGACAAGUGGUGAUUCUACAACAUCUUACUACGCUGAUGGACAGUGACUGUAAUGGGGUGUGGGGGGGGACUUGGUGAAGGGCGGAGCCUAGGAAACAUAAUGUUCUUCAUGUAAUUGUAGAUUGAUAGCAACAACAACAAAAAUUAAUGGCUGAGUACCUUUUGCUAUACUGCAUUCCAUCAAGAGAUGCCAACUUAUACUGUCACCAACAGUGUGUAACAAUGUUAUAAUGUAUUAAUGUACAUUCUGGAUUUUCCAGGAUCAAUCUACUUAAAAAUAUUCUGUCCUGUUAUGCCAUUCUUGCCAAUGGGUUUCAGCCCUGGCCAAAGUAAUCUACAGCAAAACGUUCUUGGGGUGAAAGGGUUUAUUACCCAGCUUGUUCUCCGGCAGUAGGUUGAGCACUAGCGCCUCUGCCUCCGCCCAGAGCACGGGGCCUGGCUCUCUAUAUAGCGCAGUAAUAGCUUAUUGCCUAAAGGUGUGGAAGCGGCAGCCUAGCAACAGGCCAGUUACAUCAUCAGGUGGUUUAGGUUCAGUGAGGAUCCUGGCCAUAGGAACCCCAACUUCCCCACAGCCACUGCCCAAAGGAAAUAUUGCACGAAGUCUAAUAUUUUGGCAUCCAAAUUACAUCUUUUAGACUGCCUGCUGUCCUAGCAGCCGUACCAAAAAUAAAUAAAUAAACCUCUUUGUCAAACCACAAAUCUUGUUCUAGUUAGAAAACAUGGUCACUUAUCUAUAAGAUUAGUUUUUUAUCGCAACAUCAUAACAUUAUAAAGAACAGCAAAUAUAUUUACACAGUUUUGAAUAUUAAAGGUAACAAAAUUGCUUCAAGUCUAAUUCAUUAAACAAUUUUGGGAGCCUUC